UACGUAGGGUGCAAGCGUUGUCCGGAAUUAUUGGGCGUAAAGAGCUCGUAGGCGGCUUGUCGCGUCGAAUGUGAAAACUCGGGGCUCAACUCCGAGCUUGCAUUCGAUACGGGCAGGCUAGAGUUCGGUAGGGGAGACUGGAAUUCCUGGUGUAGCGGUGAAAUGCGCAGAUAUCAGGAGGAACACCGGUGGCGAAGGCGGGUCUCUGGGCCGAUACUGACGCUGAGGAGCGAAAGCGUGGGGGAGCGAACAGG
rnacentral:rRNA from 1 species